GGAUAACCUACCCUUAGGACCGGGAUAACCCUGGGAAACUGGGGAUAAUACUGGAUAGGCAAUUUUUCCUGUAAUGGUUUUUUGUUUAAAUGUUUUUUCGCCUAAGGAUGGGUCUGCGGCCGAUUAGGUAGUUGGUUAGGUAAUGGCUUACCAAGCCGUUGAUCGGUACGGGUUGUGAGAGCAAGAGCCCGGAGAUGGAACCUGAGACAAGGUUCCAGGCCCUACGGGGUGCAGCAGGCGCGAAACCUCCGCAAUGUGAGAAAUCGCGACGGGGGGAUCCCAAGUGCCAUUCUUAACGGGAUGGCUUUUCAUUAGUGUAAAGAGCUUUUGGAAUAAGGGCUGGGCAAGACCGGUGCCAGCCGCCGCGGUAACACCGGCAGCUCUAGUGGUAGCAGUUUUUAUUGGGCCUAAAGCGUCCGUAGCCGGUUUAAUAAGUCUCUGGUGAAAUCCUGUAGCUUAACUGUGGGAAUUGCUGGAGAUACUAUUAGACUUGAGACCGGGAGAGGUUAGAGGUACUCCCAGGGUAGAGGUGAAAUUCUGUAAUCCUGGGAGGACCGCCUGUUGCGAAGGCGUCUAACUGGAACGGUUCUGACGGUGAGGGACGAAAGUUAGGGGCGCGAACCGGAUUAGAUACCCGGGUAGUCCUAACUGUAAACGAUGCGGACUUGGUGUUGGGGUGGCUUUGAGCUGCUUCAGUGCCGAAAGGGAAGCUGUUAAGUCCGCCGCCUGGGAAG
rnacentral:rRNA from 1 species